CUAAGCAGCUGGUAUGAUGUCAAGCUUUGUCAGUAGGAAGAACUGACAAAUAUCAGAAGAGUUUCCCUUCCUGGCUUCUGCUUUGCUUCUUUUGUUCCUGUGGCACUGGCCUGGUACGCAAGAGACUCAGUGAAGCUCACUCCCUAUUCCUGACAUCCUGACUGAUACACAUGUACACAUAUGAAGAUCAAGAUAAAAAGACUGAAAGAGUUUAUUACUCAUGAGGCCUGACUUACAAGAAUUGCGAAGUUGAAGUGAAAUAAUACUAGACAGCAACACCAAAACAUAUGAAAAUAUAAAGCUCUUUGCUGGAGAUAAAUAUAUGGACAAAUACAGAAUCCUGUAAUUUGUAAUGGUGAUGCAUAAAUAAAUUUAAAUUCAGGUAUAGAAUUUAAAAUAUAAAGGC
rnacentral:lncRNA from 1 species